GAACGGGAUCCGGACUUCGGUUCGGUGAGAGUGGCGGACGGGUGAGUAACGCGUGGGAACCUGCCCAGUGGUGGGGGAUAACUGCGGGAAACUGCAGCUAAUACCGCAUGAGCCCCGAGUGUAACAGCUUGGGGGAAAGAUUUAUCGCCAUUGGAGGGGCCCGCGUUCGAUUAGGUAGUUGGUGAGGUAACGGCUCACCAAGCCGACGAUCGAUAGCUGGUCUGAGAGGAUGAUCAGCCACACUGGGACUGAGAUACGGCCCAGACUCCUACGGGAGGCAGCAGUGGGGAGUAUUGGACAAUGGGGGCAACCCUGAUCCAGCAAUGCCGCGUGAGUGAUGAAGGCCUUCGGGUUGUAAAGCUCUUUUGCCAGGGACGAUGAUGACGGUACCUGGAGAAUAAGCCCCGGCUAACUUCGUGCCAGCAGCCGCGGUAAUACGAAGGGGGCAAGCGUUGUUCGGAAUUACUGGGCGUAAAGGGCGCGUAGGCGGCUUAUCAAGUCAGGCGUGAAAUUCCCGGGCUCAACCUGGGGGCUGCACUUGAUACUGAUGAGCUUGAAUGCGGGAGAGGAUAGUGGAAUUCCCAGUGUAGAGGUGAAAUUCGUAGAUAUUGGGAAGAACACCGGUGGCGAAGGCGGCUAUCUGGCCCGUGAUUGACGCUGAGGCGCGAAAGCGUGGGGAGCAAACAGGAUUAGAUACCCU
rnacentral:rRNA from 1 species